GUUCACUGAAUGUUCACAGUAGGCAAAACUAAUCUGUGUGUUAGAAGCAGGAUUCACGUUAACCCUGGGAGCUGACAAGUGAAAUGACGGGAGAAGAUCUUGUAAAAAUCGGGUGGAUUUCUCAUUCUCAACCAGGGUGGUGGUGAACUCCCUGAGUGGAUAUGAUUUGAGUAUUUUUUCUGAAGAUACAUCAAAAUUGUGCCUGUGCUUCUGCUUCCUGUCUUCCAUCCCGGGACUUGGAGGCUGGUGCUGUGGCCGCGGUCAUCAUCCCUAACGACAGUGUCAUCUGUGCCCUUGGUGUGAUGGAGGAGGAGCCCAGGGGAGCUUCUGUCCCCAAGUGGAACCCCCACUUUCACCAGACCACUGACCUGGCUCCUCCCCAAGAGGCCCAGCUCGUCAGCCCUGAGCCGCUGAAGCCAAGCCUAUUCCUACUCAUCCCUACUGACCGUGGGGAACAUCUUGGCCAUUAUCAUCUUAAACAGGUCUCUUUGGUGAUGGUGCCCAAAGUGGGCUGAAAAAGGCCAACUGGAGGCAGAGGGCCCUCGGUGGACGGUCAUGUCCUGCCAACAGGUGAUGGUGAAGUCCUGCAUCCCAGGUGGGGUUGGGAGAUGGAGGUAUGUUGCGUGCAAACACCUUUUCUUCCACGUUUGAUCAAUGCAUGAAUAUCUGACUUCUUUCCUACCAAAACCCAUGGAAUGGCCCAGAGAACCAUGAUACACAAAGGGGAUGAGACCCGCCCCCGCCUCCUGCCCUAUUCGUUCAGUCUUCAUGUGACUUGACUCACUGCUCCUUCUUGCAACGUGGAGAGUUCUGGGUGCAGAGCAUCCUUGUCCAUCUCUGCAUCUCACACAUAGUGAAUGUCUGCUUCAUAAAUGCCUUCAAGCAAUGUGAUUGAAUACAUGGAUCAGAGUCCUCAAGACAUCCCAUUCCAUUCAGAAGUGGAAGAGGUUUGAGGGGCUCCUCAUGGUUCACUGUCUUUGAAUUCUCCAUCCAGCCCUCAGGACACUGUCUCUCUGUACACCCUCCGUCACGUGGCUGUGUGCUUCUGGCCCAGUCUCCGCAGGGCAUCCUUCACGUCCUUGUUUCUCAGGCUGUAGAU
rnacentral:lncRNA from 1 species